rnacentral:rRNA from 1 species
GCCGUAAUGAUUAAUAGGGACAGUCGGGGGCAUCAGUAUUCAAUUGUCAGAGGUGAAAUUCUUGGAUUUAUUGAAGACUAACUACUGCGAAAGCAUUUGCCAAGGAUGUUUUCAUUAAUCAGGAACGAAAGUUAGGGGAUCGAAGACGAUCAGAUACCGUCGUAGUCUUAACCAUAAACUAUGCCGACUAGGGAUCGGACGAUGUUACAUUUUUGACGCGUUCGGCACCUUACGAGAAAUCAAAGUGCUUGGGCUCCAGGGGGAGUAUGGUCGCAAGGCUGAAACUUAAAGAAAUUGACGGAAGGGCACCACCAGGGGUGGAGCCUGCGGCUUAAUUUGACUCAACACGGGGAAACUCACCAGGUCCAGAA